AGCGAACGCUGGCGGCAUGCCUAACACAUGCAAGUCGAACGAGACCUUCGGGUCUAGUGGCGCACGGGUGCGUAACGCGUGGGAACCUGCCCUUAGGUUCGGAAUAACUCCCCGAAAGGGGUGCUAAUACCGGAUAAUGUCUUCGGACCAAAGAUUUAUCGCCUUUGGAUGGGCCCGCGUUGGAUUAGCUAGUUGGUAGGGUAAAAGCCUACCAAGGCGACGAUCCAUAGCUGGUCUGAGAGGAUGAUCAGCCACACUGGGACUGAGACACGGCCCAGACUCCUACGGGAGGCAGCAGUGGGGAAUAUUGGACAAUGGGCGAAAGCCUGAUCCAGCAAUGCCGCGUGAGUGAUGAAGGCCUUAGGGUUGUAAAGCUCUUUUACCCGGGAUGAUAAUGACAGUACCGAGAGAAUAAGCUCCGGCUAACUCCGUG
rnacentral:rRNA from 1 species